AAUCAACGCUGGCGGCGUGCCUAACACAUGCAAGUCGAACGCGAAAGGGAGCAAUCCUGAGUAGAGUGGCGUCCGGGUGAGUAACACGUAGGUAAUCUACCUCUAGGUGGGGAAUAACUCAGGGAAACUUGAGCUAAUACCGCAUAAUGCAGCGGCUCGGUAUCGAGACAGUUGUUAAAGCGGGGACGCAGCUCGCGCAAGAGAGGAGCCUGCGUCUGAUAGUCUAGUUGGUAAGGUAAUGGCUUACCAAGGCAUUGAUCAGUAGCCGGCCUGAGAGGGCGGCCGGCCACACU
rnacentral:rRNA from 1 species